CCUACGGGUGACAGCAGUGAGGAAUAUUGGUCAAUGGGCGGGAGCCUGAACCAACCAAGUCGCGUGAGGGAAGACGGUCCUAUGGAUUGUAAACCUCUUUAGGCGGGGAGCAAUGCCGGGCACGCGUGCCCGGAGGGAGAGUACCCGCAGAAUAAGCAUCGGCUAACUCCGUGCCAGCAGCCGCGGUAAUACGUAGGUGGCAAACGUUGUCCGGAUUUACUGGGUGUAAAGGGCGUGCAGCCGGAGAGACAAGUCAGAUGUGAAAUCCACGGGCUCAACCCGUGAACUGCAUUUGAAACUGUUUCCCUUGAGUGUCGGAGAGGUAAUCGGAAUUCCUUGUGUAGCGGUGAAAUGCGUAGAUAUAAGGAAGAACACCAGUGGCGAAGGCGGAUUACUGGACGAUAACUGACGGUGAGGCGCGAAAGCGUGGGGAGCAAACAGGAUUAGAUACCCGUGUAGUC
rnacentral:rRNA from 1 species